rnacentral:rRNA from 1 species
UGGGGAAUAUUGGACAAUGGGCGAAAGCCUGAUCCAGCCAUGCCGCGUGUGUGAAGAAGGUCUUCGGAUUGUAAAGCAAUUUAAGUUGGGAGGAAGGGCAUUAACCUAAUACGUUAGUGUUUUGACGUUACCGACCGAAUAAGCACCGGCUAACUCUGUGCCAGCAGCCGCGGUAAUACAGAGGGUGCAAGCGUUAAUCGGAAUUACUGGGCGUAAAGCGCGCGUAGGUGGUUUGUUAAGUUGGAUGUGAAAUCCCCGGGCUCAACCUGGGAACUGCAUUCAAAACUGACUGACUAGAGUAUGGUAGAGGGUGGUGGAAUUUCCUGUGUAGCGGUGAAAUGCGUAGAUAUAGGAAGGAACACCAGUGGCGAAGGCGACCACCUGGACUAAUACUGACACUGAGGUGCGAAAGCGUGGGGAGCAAACA